UACAGAGGGUGCAAGCGUUAAUCGGAAUUACUGGGCGUAAAGCGUGCGUAGGUGGUUUGUUAAGUCAGGCGUGAAAUCCCUGGGCUCAACCUGGGAACUGCGUUUGAUACUGGCAGACUCGAGUGUGGUAGAGGGUAGUGGAAUUCCGCAUGUAGCAGUGAAAUGCGUAGAUAUGCGGAGGAACACCAGUGGCGAAGGCGGCUACCUGGACCAACACUGACACUGAGGCACGAAAGCGUGGGGAGCAAACAGG
rnacentral:rRNA from 1 species